rnacentral:rRNA from 1 species
AGAGUUUGAUCCUGGCUCAGGAUGAACGCUGGCGGCGUGCUUAACACAUGCAAGUCGAACGAUGAUCUCCAGCUUGCUGGGGGGAUUAGUGGCGAACGGGUGAGUAACACGUGAGUAACCUGCCCUUGACUCUGGGAUAAGCCUGGGAAACUGGGUCUAAUACUGGAUACGACCUUCCAUCGCAUGGUGGUUGGUGGAAAGCUUUUGUGGUUUUGGAUGGACUCGCGGCCUAUCAGUUUGUUGGUGGGGUAAUGGCCUACCAAGGCGACGACGGGUAGCCGGCCUGAGAGGGUGGACGGCCACACUGGGACUGAGACACGGCCCAGACUCCUACGGGAGGCAGCAGUGGGGAAUAUUGCACAAUGGGCGCAAGCCUGAUGCAGCGACGCCGCGUGAGGGAUGAAGGCCUUCGGGUUGUAAACCUCUUUCAGUAGGGAAGAAGCGAAAGUGACGGUACCUGCAGAAGAAGCGCCGGCUAACUACGUGCCAGCAGCCGCGGUAAUACGUAGGGCGCAAGCGUUAUCCGGAAUUAUUGGGCGUAAAGAGCUCGUAGGCGGUUUGUCGCGUCUGCCGUGAAAGUCCGGGGCUUAACUCCGGAUCUGCGGUGGGUACGGGCAGACUUGAGUGAUGUAAGGGGAGACUGGAAUUCCUGGUGUAGCGGUGAAAUGCGCAGAUAUCAGGAGGAACACCGAUGGCGAAGGCAGGUCUCUGGGCAUUAACUGACGCUGAGGAGCGAAAGCAUGGGGAGCGAACAGGAUUAGAUACCCUGGUAGUCCAUGCCGUAAACGUUGGGCACUAGG